ACUCUCGGCAACGGAUAUCUCGGCUCUCGCAUCGAUGAAGAACGUAGCGAAAUGCGAUACUUGGUGUGAAUUGCAGAAUCCCGUGAACCAUCGAGUCUUUGAACGCAAGUUGCGCCCGAAGCCUUUAGGCCAAGGGCACGUCUGCCUGGGCGU
rnacentral:rRNA from 1 species